GAUACGGUUGUUCUCGGCGGCCCGUUAGUUGCACGACGGCUGUUUGCGGAGGAAACGGUGGCCUCUGUUUUCUUAGGGGAACGGAAGCUCCACGUUCUCGGCUCUCUUGCGCCGCGGUGCCCUAUCUCGCGAGGGUUUAACGUAAUUUCGCGGCUCUUCCAUCCGUCCUCUCUCGGCUCCUCCAGCAGCAGCCCGCGCGAGGACACGUGGGACGAAGGACGAGGGAAACGACGGAAGCAACGGAGGGCUGAAGGAUGAACUCGGUUGGGACAAUAACGAAGCGGCCGAAAUAUGUGUGCGGCCGCUUAAUUGCCGCGGGCCACGGGAACGUCAUCGUAAUUGUUCUCCGAAGGGCCGGCAAUUGCCCCGCCGUUCCACCUGCGUUCAAGUCGCAACAAGGCGAGAGUCGUAUCAAAUUAUUUUCUCCGGCUGGCCAGGCAAACUUUUGCCCCGAUAUUAUGGCGGCACGUGGCGGUAACAGCCCUUCGUAACCGGGCUCAUCGUUACCGGGCGUAACGGCCUCGAGGAUUUUCACGAGGAAACAAGAAGCAACUAGGAAAAUCUGUUCCGCCGCUCUGCUUAGGGAUCCCAAUACUCGCCGCGCGACGGUCCGCCAUUGGAAAUCCUGGAAUUCCGUUUGCCCCGUUAUCUCAUUAGGCCGACAUUCCUCUUCUUAUUACAGCCUCGCCGACUGUGCGGAGACUUCGAUGCAGGCGUACCGUGGAAUUACCUGUGAAUAUCUCUAUUUGCAUAAACAUCCUCCUUCGGCUUAUCAGAUAAGGGGUGAGAUGGAUAACGAUUAACGAUGAAUAACAACGAAUUGAAAAAUACACCGAAUGUAUCAAGAUGAACGCGAUUAUCGUGACGAGAAGGGCGGUCACGAUCGGCAUCAAGAACAAUGACGAGCAAGAAACAAGAUUCCCUGUUUCCCGCAGUCAGCACGAAAGAGGCGAGCCAGGAGUAAACGUACGGGGUUAGAAACCGCCGAAGCACGGGCUCGCAUGUAUUUCAAUGUCGGGACAUCCGGUUGGGCCGACGAGUGAUGUGGUCUGCUACCCUCGUGCAUCCGGCCGUCGCCAAACAGCGCGGCGUGUGCACACGAGGCUGUUGUAUGUUUGCGCGGCUACAACCUUCCACGACGCCAUCUUGCCUCGCUGCGAGUAUCAUGCUGCGAUCGCCAAAUACACAAAUUCGCCGUGUACAACCCGCAAACUUCGUCAUAUUCCCUUCGAAGUAACGUAAGAGGGUAUGGCAACGAACAUGCGAAAACAAUGAAACUAAUACUCUGUGCAU